rnacentral:rRNA from 1 species
UUCGGCCUUAGUGGCGCACGGGUGAGUAACGCGUGGGAACCGGCCCUUGAGUGGAGGAUAACCUCGGGAAACUGAGGCUAAUACCGCAUAUGCCCUGAGGGGCAAAGACGCAAGUCGCUUGAGGAAGGGCCCGCGCCCGAUUAGGUAGUUGGUGUGGUAAAGGCGCACCAAGCCGACGAUCGGUAGCUGGUCUGAGAGGAUGAUCAGCCACACUGGGACUGAGACACGGCCCAGACUCCUACGGGAGGCAGCAGUGGGGAAUAUUGGACAAUGGGCGCAAGCCUGAUCCAGCCAUGCCGCGUGAGUGAAGAAGGCCUUCGGGCUGUAAAGCUCUUUCAGCGGGGACGAUGAUGACGGUACCCGCAGAAGAAGCCCCGGCUAACUUCGUGCCAGCAGCCGCGGUAAUACGAAGGGGGCUAGCGUUGU